rnacentral:rRNA from 1 species
AGCGCAGGCGGUUUCUUAAGUCUGAUGUGAAAGCCUUCGGCUCAACCGAAGAAGUGCAUCGGAAACUGGGAAACUUGAGUGCAGAAGAGGACAGUGGAACUCCAUGUGUAGCGGUGAAAUGCGUAGAUAUAUGGAAGAACACCAGUGGCGAAGGCGGCUGUCUGGUCUGUAACUGACGCUGAGGCUCAAAGCAUGGGUAGCAAACA